rnacentral:rRNA from 1 species
AUUGAACGCUGGCGGCAUGCCUUACACAUGCAAGUCGAACGGCAGCACGGGAGCAAUCCUGGUGGCGAGCGGCGAACGGGUGAGUAAUACAUCGGAACGUGCCCAGUAGUGGGGGAUAGCCCGGCGAAAGCCGGAUUAAUACCGCAUACGACCUACGGGUGAAAGCGGGGGAUCGCAAGACCUCGCGCUAUUGGAGCGGCCGAUGUCAGAUUAGCUAGUUGGUGGGGUAAAGGCCUACCAAGGCGACGAUCUGUAGCUGGUCUGAGAGGACGACCAGCCACACUGGGACUGAGACACGGCCCAGACUCCUACGGGAGGCAGCAGUGGGGAAUUUUGGACAAUGGGCGCAAGCCUGAUCCAGCCAUGCCGCGUGCGGGAAGAAGGCCUUCGGGUUGUAAACCGCUUUUGUCAGGGAAGAAACGCUCCGGAAUAAUACUUCGGAGUAAUGACGGUACCUGAAGAAUAAGCACCGGCUAACUACGUGCCAGCCGCCGCGGUAAAAC